UACAGAGGUCCCGAGCGUUGUUCGGAUUCACUGGGCGUAAAGGGUGCGUAGGUGGUGCAGUAAGUCGGAUGUGAAAUCUCGGAGCUUAACUCCGAAACUGCAUUGGAAACUACUUUGCUCGAGGGUUGGAGGGGGGGCUGGAAUUCUCGGUGUAGCAGUGAAAUGCGUAGAUAUCGAGAGGAACACCAGUGGCGAAGGCGGGUCUCUGGGCCGAUACUGACGCUGAGGAGCGAAAGCGUGGGGAGCGAACAGG
rnacentral:rRNA from 1 species